rnacentral:rRNA from 2 species
UGCUUAACACAUGCAAGUCGAACGGAGAACUUAUUUCGGUAAGUUCUUAGUGGCGAACGGGUGAGUAACGCGUGGGCAACCUGCCCUCCAGUUGGGGACAACAUUCCGAAAGGGAUGCUAAUACCGAAUGUGCUCCCUCCUCCGCAUGGAGGAGGGAGGAAAGAUGGCCUCUGCUUGCAAGCUAUCGCUGGAAGAUGGGCCCGCGUCUGAUUAGCUAGUUGGUGGGGUAACGGCUCACCAAGGCGAUGAUCAGUAGCCGGUCUGAGAGGAUGAACGGCCACAUUGGGACUGAGACACGGCCCAAACUCCUACGGGAGGCAGCAGUGGGGAAUCUUCCGCAAUGGACGAAAGUCUGACGGGGCAACGCCGCGUGAGUGAUGAAGGUCUUCGGAUUGUAAAACUCUGUUGUUAGGGACGAAAGCACCGUGUUCGAACAGGUCAUGGUGUUGACGGUACCUAACGAGGAAGCCACGGCUAACUACGUGCCAGCAGCCGCGGUAAUACGUAGGUGGCAAGCGUUGUCCGGAAUUAUUGGGCGUAAAGAGCAUGUAGGCGGGCUUUUAAGUCUGACGUGAAAAUGCGGGGCUUAACCCCGUAUGGCGUUGGAUACUGGAGGUCUUGAGUGCGGGAGAGGAAAGGGGAAUUCCCAGUGUAGCAGUGAAAUGCGUAGAUAUUGGGAGGAACACCAGUGGCGAAGGCGCCUUUCUGGACUGUGUCUGACGCUGGGAUGCGAAAGCCAGGGUAGCAAACGGGAUUAGAUACCCCGGUAGUCCUGGCCGUAAACGAUGGAUACUAGGUGUAGGUGGUAUCGACCCCUUCUGUGCCGGAGUUAACGCAAUAAGUAUCCCGCCUGGGGACUACGAUCGCAAGAUUGCAACUCAAAGGAAUUGACGGA